CAAGCAUAAAACUUUGCUUCUAAUGGGAUCUCUGUAAAAGAAGGUUUAAGUGACCAUACCUACACAGGUGACAGUUAACAGGGACAUCUGAGGUGACCUUUAAUGUAAGUCCACUUUCAAUUAGCAUUGACAGUGAUCAUUUUCCUCAUCCUCCCUAACAAAAAGUUUGCCUAGCAAUAAGGCCAUUUUGCAAAACCAUCACCACAGCAGUUUCCAUUUUCCUGCUAGUUCAGGAAAGGCAGUUCUACCUUUACUUCCCCCCACCCCUUCUCUCCAAGCAAUAGGUGAACAAGGUAAAAACACUACCAGGAAUGAAACAAGCCACAUUAAGGCAAGAAGCAGCCAGAUAUACCAGCAGAUAUGGAUGUGCUGAUUCCUAAGUACAAAUUACUGACAAAUGAGGUAAUGGGGAAAAAAAAAGACGCACACAAGCUGAGCCUCUGAUCUACUUCGUGCUAGAAUUCUUCUUAACUUCACUCCAGAGAAGUUCUUUACCUGGCUUCUCUUUCUUGCAUCAAGAUCUCAGUCUUCCCUUUCAGAAGAAAAGAUCCUGUGUAGCCUUAAGGAAAUUUGUGACUCUACACUGUAAGUCAGCUUCAACUUUGCCUUUAUCAAACCCUCGGAAGUUACACAGUUAGAAACAGUACACCCCUAUCGGCAAUAGUCCGCAGAUUGAAGCCCUGUCCUUUUCAACAGGUUGAUCCUGUUUAAUCGCAAUGAAAAAGAGUCACACUUGCUACGCACCGGGCUUGAGCACAGGGAUGGCAACAGGGCAUUUCGUUUGCCUUUUGACUGAUAGUAAAGUAGAAACGAAAAACCCCGCCCCUCAAACAACCUCAAAACAAACAAAAACCUUGAAGCCUUACUGCAGCACUAUUCUUUACGGGUAGAAAAGUUGUGGCGGGACCUUAACAUUACGGAGAGGCAUAUGUGGUUUGCAGCAGCCCUUCCCGGGGGAGCUGCCCCGGCAGGUGCCGGGAAGCGGCUGAGCCCGGCUGCUCCGCGCUCGCUGUCCCGCACGGCCCGGGCCGAUGAGGCACACACGGGCUCCCGCCCAGCUCCCGAGCGCGUCACGGCCGGCGCCGCGCGGCUCCCCCGGCCCGCGGGGGAGGAGGAGGAGGCGGCCCGGCCUGACUCACCGCGGAGGGGGCCAGCGCGCCGGCCCGGGCGGCGGCCGCGGGCGGACCCCCUGCCCCGCUGCAGUUUGCACACAGCAGCACCCCAUGUUUAUUCCACAGUCUCCCCAUAUCACUUUCUGCUUGUGUCCAUCAUUUUCUCCCAGAGGGAUGCCUCAACUGGAGCCUCACGGACAUGGCUUUCUCCACAGGCAAGAAAAAGAUUUUUUCUUCACACACAAAGUUUUGCCUUACUUCUCUGUAUAUCCGAACACUCAAGGGCAUAGUCCUGGUUGUUUUUUCCUUUAUCCACCCUCCUGAUCUCCAAUUCUCAACAAUUCCUUUACAGUUCUUACAGCUAAAGUGAAAGUCUUUGGAGAGCAUCCUUUGCUGAGACAGCAAAGCCAGUUCCUAUUACAGUUCUCCUCACUGCAUCCCAUUGUACACAUAAGAAACAUUUUUUUUUCUCCCAUAGCUUUUAAUCCUCAGUGCUAUGUUCAUUACAUUACUUUAAGAAUAUGUCGCUCUGUUUCCUUUUCAUUUUUCAAGGCACAGGAUAGUUUCUAAGAGGGUGCUUACUGGAAUUAAUUUCAAAAGGAUAGCUUAAUUAUGUUAUGGCAAAUGUAUAAUCAAGAUACUGAUGUGCACUUGAUACAUCAAAUUUAUUUUCAAUGAAGUUGUUAGUUAAUUUUUUCUUCCUCCAGUUAAUUCUAGAGUUUACUGAAAAACCCACUCAACAAAAAACCUACAGUUUACAAGCUGUGAAAUGUACUGUGAUAGAAAAUUGGCAAUGCUUUCCCUUGGGUUUUUUUCAUUUAUUUUAAUAAGAAAAAAAUAUAGAGAGUAACCUCAUUUUUAGUUUUCUUGCUGCCGAUUUAUAAUACAUUUCCUCUUGUUCAGUAUUCAAAAUUGUUUCAAGAAUUAUCUUGGAAGAAAUCAAUCCACCAAUACAGAACUUAGAUCAAUACAGAAUCACAGAUGGCUGAGAUUGGCUUGUCCUCCAUGUGUCUGGAAAUCCAGGAUUAGAUGCUCCAUACCUUUCCCGUGGAUCUAGGAAAUGAGCUGGUUUGCCAUAAUCCCUUCCAUCCUCCUCACUUGAUGAGCAAUUAUUCAACAUAUUUUGUAGCCCUCAGACUGGAUGCAGAAUUAUUCAUUCCCUUCCUUCUCCAGGAUCCUGUGGGGAUUAAACCAACCCAAGUGAAUUUGGGGUGCUGAGAACUGGCAAAAGCAUCCCAUAUGAUUUCUGGAUCCCAUAGGUAGAGUUUAUUUGGUGAUUUAUGGAUAUGAAUAACUUUUUCUAUUUAUAAGGUGUCUCUUCAGGGGCCUCAGGCUCUGCUGAGAAAUCUGAGGGGAAAAACUCAUGAAAGUUUAGAUGAUAAGGGAUAUGCAAGGUGCCUGUGGGUCUGGAGCAGGACACACUGAUCCCAUAAGAUCAUGCAAAGACAGAUUGAACUACCAAAUUUUGUUAUUACAAAAUGUGAUGUUCAUCAAAACAUAAACGUUUUGCAGAUAAAAAUCAAUUUCUGUGAUUGUACUUCCUAGGGGGGAAAAAAUGAUAAUACCUUUCAGUAAAGAAGAAAGGUUCUGUUUCAACAAUUGCAAAAACUAACACUUCAACACAGCAUUUCCAAAUAAUUUCAUGUACUGAAAUUAUUUCACCUAAUACAAAAAUAAUGCUGAAUUCUUUUUCUUUCCAAUAAACAGUAUAGUGUGGAAUAUAUAUUACAUUUUAUAUUACCAAGAGCUACAUCUCAAUGGACAUCUUUAACAUUGGAAUGGAGGCAGUUUUACAAAAUCUACUGAGUUGUUUAAGGGUUGGGGUUUUUUUGAAGACUUUCUUUAAGGGGCAAGACCCCAAACCUGACACUGGCUUUAAUGGGAAGUAUUGUGAAUUCUUUAAUCUAAAAGAAAUCAAAAUGGUUUCUAGAUUAAAUAUCUGCAGGGUCCAGCACUCAAAUGCAAAAUGCUGCUCCACCAAGCAGAACGCUUCAGAGAAAGACAUAAGAGGCAGGCAAAGGAGGUAUUUUCCCAUUAAAGUGGAAAGUGAUCUGGGAAAAGGUAACAGAGUUACUGUCAGAGGAACUAACAGUUACUGUCACUGUUCCUUGAUUCCCAUGUUGUUCUGCAAGUACCUCCCAGCCCACUGGGAGAAACACCAAGGUGAGCCUGGGAAAUAGAAUUUCCAGUGGACAAUUUAGGAGAGAAUUCUGCCAACUGAGAUCGCACUAGUCAAGAAUUUUAGGCAAAAUAAAUUAAUGGAAUACUUCAUAAAUUUUCUAAGUAUCCAUUUGGGUAUGUUAAGUGGGUAUAAGGUGGUUUACAUA